rnacentral:rRNA from 1 species
CCUACGGGCGGCAGCAGUGGGGAAUAUUGCACAAUGGGGGAAACCCUGAUGCAGCGACGCCGCGUGAGUGAAGAAGUAAUUCGUUAUGUAAAGCUCUAUCAGCAGGGAAGAAAAUGACGGUACCUGAGUCAGAAGCCCCGGCUAACUACGUGCCAGCAGCCGCGGUAAUACGUAGGGGGCAAGCGUUAUCCGGAGUUACUGGGGGUAAAGGGAGCGUAGACGGCAGUGCAAGUCUGGAGUGAAAGGCGGGGGCUCAACCCCCGGACUGCUCUGGAAACUGUACGGCUGGAGUGCAGGAGAGGUAAGUGGAAUUCCUAGUGUAGCGGUGAAAUGCGUAGAUAUUAGGAGGAACACCAGUGGCGAAGGCGGCUUACUGGACUGUAACUGACGUUGAGGCUCGAAAGCGUGGGGAGCAAACAGGAUUAGAUACCCCUGUAGUC